rnacentral:tRNA from 1 species
GUUGAAGUGGCUGAGCUAGAGGCGGUAAAUUGUAAAUUUAUUGACGAGAAUAAAUCUCCUUUAACA